rnacentral:rRNA from 1 species
CCUACGGGAGGCAGCAGUGGGGAAUUUUGGACAAUGGGCGCAAGCCUGAUCCAGCCAUGCCGCGUGCGGGAAGAAGGCCUUCGGGUUGUAAACCGCUUUUGUCAGGGAAGAAAUCCCUUGAGCUAAUACCUCGGGGGGAUGACGGUACCUGAAGAAUAAGCACCGGCUAACUACGUGCCAGCAGCCGCGGUAAUACGUAGGGUGCAAGCGUUAAUCGGAAUUACUGGGCGUAAAGCGUGCGCAGGCGGUUAUGUAAGACAGGUGUGAAAUCCCCGGGCUUAACCUGGGAACUGCACUUGUGACUGCAUAGCUUGAGUGCGGCAGAGGGGGAUGGAAUUCCGCGUGUAGCAGUGAAAUGCGUAGAUAUGCGGAGGAACACCGAUGGCGAAGGCAAUCCCCUGGGCCUGCACUGACGCUCAUGCACGAAAGCGUGGGGAGCAAACAGGAUUAGAUACCCUGGUAGUCCACGCCCUAAACGAUGUCAACUGGUUGUUGGACGGCUUGCUGUUCAGUAACGUAGCUAACGCGUGAAGUUGACCGCCUGGGGAGUACGGCCGCAGGUUGAAACUCAAAGGAUUGACGG